AAGAGGAGCAGGUCACGUGAUCAACAGGACGUACAAGGAGACACUGUUCAGUCAUCGAUUCAUACAACGAGGAAGAGAUGCCUUCUUUUGGAACAAACCACACACACGCCAAAGUGUAAGCAAGCGACUUGACAACGUACUCCAGUAAAAUACAGAUGUUAGUGUCAUAGGUCACAGCCUCUAAAGGUGUCCUGAGAUCGUCACUGUUUCAUUGGUCACAGCCUCUAAAGGUGUCCUGAGAUCGUCACUGUUUCAUUGGUCACAGCCUCUAAAGGUGUCCUGAGAUCGUCACUGUUUCAUUGGUCACAGCCUCUAAAGGGGUCCUGAGAUCGUCACUGUUUCAUUGGUCACAGCCUCUAAAGGUGUCCUGAGAUCGUCACUGUUUCAUUGGUCACAGCCUCUAAAGGUGUCCUGAGAUCGUCACUGUUUCAUUGGUCACAGCCUCUAAAGGUGUCCUGAGAUCGUCACUGUUUCAUUGGUCACAGCCUCUAAAGGUGUCCUGAGAUCGUCACUGUUUCAUUGGUCACAGCCUCUAAAGGUGUCCUGAGAUCGUCACUGUUUCAUUGGUCACAGCCUCUAAAGGUGUCCUGAGAUCGUCACUGUUUCAUUGGUCACAGCCUCUAAAGGUGUCCUGAGAUCAUCACUGUACGUUCCAGUGGCUAUUUUAACCAGACCUCAUCCAUCCAAUAUAAAACAGUGUCCAUUUCCACACAGCAUCAGCCGUUGGGCACAUCCCAAAUGUCUCCCCAUUUUCCCUAUAUAGUGCACUGUAUAUGGACAUUGGAAAGGGGGGGGCAUUUGGGACCCGGACAUGUG